rnacentral:rRNA from 1 species
CCUACGGGAGGCUGCAGUGGGGAAUAUUGCACAAUGAGGGAAACCCUGAUGCAGCGACGCCGCGUGAAGGAAGAAGUAUUUCGGUAUGUAAACUUCUAUCAGCAGGGAAGAAAAUGACGGUACCUGACUAAGAAGCCCCGGCUAACCACGUGCCAGCAGCCGCGGGAAUACGUAGGGGGCACGCGGUAGCCGGAUAUACUGGGGGUAAAGGGAGCGGAGGCGGCGAUGCAAGUCAGAAGGGAAAGCCCGGGGCUCAACUCCGGGACUGCUUUUGAAACUGUGUUGCUAGAUUGCAGGAGAGGUAAGUGGAAUUCCUAGUGUAGCGGUGAAAUGCGUAGAUAUUAGGAAGAACACCAGUGGCGAAGGCAGCUUACUGGACUGUAAAUGACGCUGAGGCUCGAAAGCGUGGGGAGCAAACAGGAUUAGAUACCCGUGUAGUC